rnacentral:tRNA from 1 species
GGAGAGGUGGCUGAAUGGUUAAAAGCAUUGACUGCUCACCCAGAAGACCUGGGUUCAAUUCCCAGCAUCCA